rnacentral:rRNA from 1 species
GAUGAACGCUGGCGGCGUGCCUAAUACAUGCAAGUCGAACGGACAGGUGCUGAGCUUUCUCCUCUGACGUUGGCGGCGGACGGGUGAGUACCACGUAGUUACCCUCCCUAUACGACUGGGUUAACUUCGGAAAGCCGGGGCUAAUACCGGAGAAUUUACUGAACCGCAUGGUGCAACAGUGAAAGACGGUUUUGCUUUCACUUAUGGUUGGAUCCGCGCUGCCUUACCUAGUUGGUAAGGUAACGGCUUACCAAGGCAACGAUGCGUAGCCGACCGGAGAGGGUGAUCGGCCGCACUGGAGGGGAGACACGGUCGAGAAUCCUACGGGAGGCAGCAGUAGGGAAGCGUACGCAAUGGGCGGAAGCCUGACGGAGCAACGCCGCGUGGGUGAUGAAGGUCUUCGGAUCGUAAAAAUCUGUUAUUAGGGAAGAACAAAUGUGUAAGUAAUGAGGCACGGCUUGACGGUACCGAAUCAGAAAGCCACGGCUAACUACGUG